rnacentral:tRNA from 1 species
GGGCCCGUAGCUCAUUUGGUAGAGCACUGCAUUCGCAUUGCAGGGGUGGUCGGUUCGAAUCCGAUCGGGUCCACAA